rnacentral:rRNA from 1 species
GUGAGUGUUGGGUUAAGUCCCGCAACGAGCGCAACCCUCAUUGCCAGUUGAUUUCUCUGGCGAGACUGCCCCGCAAAACGGGGAGGAAGGUGGGGAUGACGUCAAGUCAGCAUGGCCCUUAUGCCCUGGGCUACACACACGCUACAAUGGACGGUACAAUUGGUUGCAAUAGCGCGAGCUGGAGCUAAUCCGAAAAGCCGUUCUCAGUUCGGAUUGCAGGCUGAAACCCGCCUGCAUGAAGUUGGAGUUGCUAGUAAUCGCAGGUCAGCAUACUGCGGUGAAUACGUUCUCGGGCCUU